GCCAGGGGCUCCAUUCUGACACUGACAGAACCAACAUGGCGUGUGGGCUGAGCUGGCUUUUCCUGGUGGCUGUGUUAGGAGGGGUCCAGUGUGAGGUGCAGCUGGUAGAGUCUGGGGGAGACUUGGUGCAGCCCGGAGAGUCCCUGACAGUCUCCUGUGCAGCCUCUGGAUUCAAUGUUGGCAGCUCUUAUAUGAGCUGGGUCUGCCAGGCUCCAGGGAAGGGCCUAGAGUGGGUCUCAUACAUUAGUGCUGGUGGUAGUACAUACUAUGCCGACUCUGUGAAGGGCCGAUUCACCAUCUCCAGAGACAACAACAAGAACACACUCUCUCUGCAAAUGAGCCCCCUGAGGAAGGACGACACGGCCCUGUACUACUGUGCGAGAGUUACAAUUCAUACCUGCACUUUCAAUGAUGUUACCAGAUUUAUCAAAAUUGUCAAUUUACAAAAAGUGAGCAAAACUGUUCCAAUGACAGGGAAAAUGCCCGUAUCUGAUGUGAAACAUGAAGUGAGGAGCAUCUCUGUGGGACUGGGGAAUAUCCACCUUGCAGAGGCCAUUGAUCAAAUGCUUGGACCCGAUGUCUCCCUAUGUCCUGUCCAGGUACAGCUACAGGAGUUGGGACCAAGACUGGUGACACCCUCGAAGAUGCUGUCCCUCACCGGCUCCAUCUCUGAAUUCUCUCUAACCGACUAUGGUGUGAUCUGGGUUCUCCAGCAACCAGGAAAGUGA